AUUGAACGCUAGCGGGAUGCCUUACACAUGCAAGUCGAACGGAGUGGCGAACGGGUGAGUCAUGUAUCGGAACGUGCCCGGUAGUGGGGGAUAACGACGCGAAAGCGGAGCUAAUACCGCAUAAUAUAGGAGCGGCCGAUAUCGGAUUAGCUAGUUGGUGGGGUAACGGCUCACCAAGGCGACGAUCCGUAGCUGGUUUGAGAGGACGACCAGCCACACUGGGACUGAGACACGGCCCAGACUCCUACGAGAGGCAGCAGUGGGGAAUUUUGGACAAUGGUGGAAACCCUGAUCCAGCCAACCCGCGUGUGCGAUGAAGGCCUUCGGGUUGUAAAGCACUUUUGGCAGGAAAGCGGUACCUACAGAAUAAGCACCGGCUAACUACGUGCCAGCAGCCGCGGUAAUAC
rnacentral:rRNA from 1 species